rnacentral:rRNA from 1 species
UACAGAGGGUGCAAACGUUGCUCGGAAUUAUUGGGCGUAAAGCGCACGUAGGCGGCUUGUUAAGUCGGAUGUGAAAGCCCUGGGCUCAACCCAGGAAGUGCAUUCGAUACUGGCAGCUUGAGUAUGGAAGAGGGUCGCGGAAUUCCCGGUGUAGAGGUGAAAUUCGUAGAUAUCGGGAGGAACACCAGUGGCGAAGGCGGCGACCUGGGCCAAUACUGACGCUGAGGUGCGAAAGCGUGGGGGAGCAAACAGG